rnacentral:tRNA from 1 species
GCUCGCUUGGUGAAAUUAGGUAAACACGAUGGAUUUAAAAUUCAUUCUCAAUUAUUAGAGUUACUGGUUCAAAUCCGGUAGCGAGUA